ensembl:lincRNA
CUCGUGAAUCUCCUGAGCUAGGUGAAAACUGUCAAGACAAAAAAACAAAUGAGCUCCCAGGAGACGGACAGUAUAACAACGGUGAAAGGCAGUAAAACGCGGAACAGCUGAACAAAGACCAUGGAUGAUUUCAAUAAAAGCAAAGUGGGAAGUAAAUAAGAAUAUUCUGGGGGAAAAUGAUGAUUAGAUCAAUCGUAAAUAUCACAUUAUAUGUCGCAAACGUUUCCCUUGAAGUUUGUUCCUAGGGAGUGUCCGUCUGUACUGUAUAUGAUCGCUACCAGUGCUUUUAAACUGGCGUCUGUGGGUGUCGGUUGUCAAGGCUGCAGCCGCGACUAAUAUACUGUAGCAAGCACCGAAUUGAAAGCACGGGCGUCCAGCGGCUAUGAAGUCGGAAUACAAGUUUAAACUCAUGUUAUCAAGCUAAUGUGCCACGCAGUAGUCACAUCCCGUACUAUACUGUCCAUGCCCGAGAUGUUUCUACUCGUUGAGUGAUUGGAAGGAAAGACCUUUGAUGGCGCUGAAGAAGGUAGAAAAAAGCUGGCCGGAGCUGCAAGAAAGCGUGACGCGGAUUCGGCAGAAACUCAGCACAGUGGCCAGCACAGGUGAGAGCAGUUUCGUCUCUGCGUCCCCAUCUGCCAACCAGAAAGACAGAAGGAAACACCGCACCUCCACAUACCUGCCCAGCCUGAAAGACCAGAGGAGGAAAGUGAGAAGCCGAGAUCCUCAUCAUCCUGGAGAUGGCAGGAGCAAACACGAAGCUGCAGCUGCACGUGUCGCUGAGAGACCCAGCCCAGAGCACGCACAGAGUGAAACAGAGAAGCGACUGGGAGGCUUGGCACAAUCCACUCUGCGGCAGCGAGCACAGCGGGAAAGGCAGGAUCACGCUGCAGCCUUGCAUUUCAUGGAGAAUAAGGCCUUUGCCCAGCAGUUCGUGAAUUCCCUCAUCCGAGAGCUGCUGUGUGAUGAGCUGAUCCCAGACCUGCUGAUUGAGGGCUUUUCUGUGAAACACGCUGCUAAAGACACUGCAAAGAGAAGCAGACAUAUAGGACGGCAAGGCUCUUCAUGUCCUUCGAGGUCCAGGGGCAGUGCGACUGCAGUGGAAAGCCUGAUGCCGCUGUCCGGUUGGGUGCUCGAUGAGCUUCUGCAGGAAGUGCUGCACGACGUGUCCGCAGAAGUGAUCCGGACCUCAGUGAAGGACUUGGUGGACACUCACCUGGCCCAGGCAGCUGUCCACCACUGCGCCUCGGACGUCCUGUCUGAGACGCUGGCUCUCCUCCUCCUGGAAGUGGCGAGGGCGGCCCAGGAGGAGGCCCAGCUGGAGGCCGAGCUGCUCCCGGAGGUGGUGGCCCAGGAGGCCAGGGAGGUCGCCCUGUCGGUGCUGGCUGAACGCGACUCCGAGACCGCUGCCUGCCAGCUCGCCCAGGUCAGUCAUUAUGCAACCAAAAGGCUGCUGGACGUGUUCCUGAUGGGUCACUUGGUGGAGCUGGCGGCCAGCCAGGGACAGUGCUUUCUGGAAAAGGAACUGUCAGGGAGGCUCUUGGACAGCUGGAUGAUAGAGAUGUUCAUCCACCAGUUCUUCAGAGUCCAGAGGCUCCGAGAGCAGACCCUGCAGAGCGCGCCUGUCCGGAGUCUCCACCGGCAGAUCGUUACUGAUGUGAUCCUGGAUGUGAUCCUGUCUGAGUUGACCGAGUCUAUGGAUGAGGACAUGGGAGACCUGCUGGAAUACGAGCAGCUAAUGGAGGAAGGGACUCCUCUCUGAAUGCUGGUCAGGAAACAGAACUUGGGGGUUAGAAUGCAGGAGGAAUUAGUACCUUUUUAUUUGCACCCAUAUUUAUUAUGAAAGGGAACACAUAGCAUGAACAUAGCAAUUUCAUCACCUAUCAAUUAUCCUAGGGCAGGAAAUGAUAGAGAUAAUUCUUUAGUAAAAAAAUAGAAAAAGGAUUUAUCUGAGCUGUAGGUCUGAGGUUUUGACUUCUAAGUUGCCUGUUUAUGUUGUUCAAUGUUGUUAUUGAAAACUGGUAGGAAAGGAUAGGAACCUCUUUUAUUAAAGCAUUUCACCUGUAAGGAUUCUCACUGCAUAUUUGCAGUAACUUUAUGGGACGGUAUGUUGUACAGUGUGUAACAGAAACAAAUAAAAUUUUAAGUAAACGUUUUUGGCCUUUGUGCUCUUUUUUUAGGAUCAUGAUCAUUUAGGCAUC